rnacentral:tRNA from 1 species
UCCCGGGCUGGCGCGCGGUGCUGCUGCGCCUGGUCGGCGCGCUGCCGGGCCUGGGCCUGGUGCUGCUGAUCUUCGUCGGCAUCCGCGCC